rnacentral:misc_RNA from 1 species
GAUGAAGAACGCAGCGAAAUGCGAUAAGUAGUGUGAAUUGCAGAAUUCAGUGAAUCAUCGAAUCUUUGAACGCACAUUGCGGCCAUAGGUAUUCCUUUGGCCAUGCCUGUUCGAGCGUCAUUUACACCCUCAAGCCUAGCUUGGUGUUGGGCGUCUGUCCCGCCGUUCUCGCGCGCGGACUCGCCUCAAAGUCAUUGGCGGCGGUCGUGCCGGCCCCUUCGCGCAGCACAUUUGCGCUUCUCGGAGGCCCGGCGGAUCCGCGCUCCAGCAAGACCUUUCACGACUUGACCUCGGAUCAGGUAGGGAUACCCGCUGAACUUAAGCAUAUCAAUAAGCGGAGGA